rnacentral:lncRNA from 1 species
CGAAUUCCCACUUCGGCUGCCGAACGUAGUGGAAGUUUGCAUGCAGCUUUGGCCGUCGAAGGAGAGGCGGUUGGCCACCUAUAAAAGCUCAUUUAACCGGAAAUGGAGGCUAUUUUGCUCUCUUUUUGGGUCAAAGGUAGGUUUUGUCCUCCCUUGGUUGAGUUCUUCUUGUUUUUCUAAAUCAUGCAAGCUUUAACAAGUUUUUAACUUGUUUUUUGAAGUUUUGAGCAAAAGAAGGCAAAGUUGAUAGACUUGGAGACUUUGGAUCUCUUUCCUUCACAAGCUCCGAGUUAGGACCAUCGAUCCUCUCGAUCUUCAAGAGGUAAGCAUGGAUCAUCACCUCCCCUUAUGUUUUAAGCAUGGUUUAAAGGGUUUAAGAGAGUUUUAUGGCAUGUUGAUAGUGGAUCUAUAGGUUAAAGAGUAUAUGUUGAUCAUAUGCUAUAUGUGAUGUUAUGAUGUUGUUUUUGGAGUUUAAACUAGUUUUUAAGCUCCUAUAUGCAUGGAUAAGGAUAUAUGCAUGGUUAUGAGAAGUUGGUUGCAUGUUGAGAGUGUGUGGUAGGAUUUUGGGAGGCUGAAUAUGCAUGUAUGAUCGAGUUCUGCCUUCUUGGAGAACUCAGGUUCGGCCGCCGAAGCAAGGUUCGGCCGCCGAACCCCUUAAGGAGGCUGUUUUGAUCGCCUAAACUCGCCCCCGAAGGUUUGAACUUUCGGCUCUGAAGGGAGUUUCGGCCGCCGAAUAUGCCGCCGAAAGUGAGUGACUUUCAUCUCUGGAGUGUCCUUCAGCCCCCGAACCUCGCCCUUGAAAGUUGGACUUUCG